AAUGAACGUUGGCGGCGUGGAUUAGGCAUGCAAGUCGAGCGAGAACCGAGGAAGCUUGCUUCCAAGGGGACAGCGGCGAAAGGGAGAGUAACGCGUAGAUACGUACCUUAGGGUUCGGGAUAGCCAUGGGAAACUGUGGGUAAUACCGAAUAAUGUCUCCGGACCAAAGAUUUAUUGCCCUAAGAGCGGUCUGCGUCCUACUAGUUUGUUGGUGGGUAAUGGCCUACCAAGACUAAGAUGGGUACCGGGCGUGAGAGCGUGAUCCGGCUCACUGGGACUGAGACACUGCCCAGACACCUACGGGUGGCUGCAGUCGAGAAUCUUCCGCAAUGGACGCAAGUCUGACGGAGCAACGCCGCGUGCGGGAUGAAGGCCCUCGGGUUGUAAACCGCUGUCAGAGGGGAGGAAAUUUUGACCGAUCCUCAGAGGAAGCGCAGGCUAAGUUCGUG
rnacentral:rRNA from 1 species